AAGAAAGCAACAUGUCUGUUGGAAAGGAUAUGGAAUAAGAAUUUGCAUAUGCCAAUAUGAUGAUAUUAUCCCUUUCCCUAUUAUAAAUAUGCAGACAUGUACUGGUGCAGUCUGCAACUAGCUUCCGCAUACACACUGCAUGCUUAUUUAAUUUCUUUGGUCAAUUUCUUAGGUAAGCAGGUCCUUUUUCUUUUUCUUUUUUCUAUAUAAACCCUAUUUUAUAUAUGUCAGUUGCAAUGGUGAGUGUCAAUAGCAAACAGUUACUUGCUGCUUCCAAGUUGGUUUUUAAAAAGGAGGAGCUGUCCAAGACACAGUUUCAUGUUCACCGGAAGAAUGAUUGGGAUGAUGAUGACGACGACGACGACGAUGAUGCGGGCAGUGUUGCACCAGCCGCAUAGCUAUAUAUAUGUUUAUUGGCAUUGAGAGAAUUUGAGGCACUUCCCAGCCUCCUAGGAGUGAGCUUUGACACACUAGUUGAACAAUGUUGUGCUUUGGCACUAGUUGUCUCAGUUAAAGAUUGUUUUUUGUUUUUAAGGAGUUUCAAAUCGAGUACUAUUAGAACAAAAGAGAAAAACAAGUUUCUCGACUCCCUCUGCUAGCUUGUCUUGUUUUUAAUAGUACGUUGACUGAAUAUUAAUCUAAGCUUAAAGUUCAUUACAAAAUCCGAAGUUAUCUGCUUGUCUUGUUUUUUAAGUUUUUAAUGUAUAGGGCCACCAAUAUAAUAAACCACUUCAUUUUGAAAGGCCGAAUAACCAUGCAUAUUCUGAGUCUGUGAGGCAAGAAAGCUCAGUAAGAUUAAGAUAUUUUAUCAAAGAACCUCAGCAUAGAUACGGGAUAGUGAUUGCUAUAAUAAUCAAUAUCAAUUAAUAAACCUUAACACCUAUCAAUGUUGUUUCGAAAGAUAUAUGUGUAUGUGCGCGCACGCGCGUCUCUUGUGGUAGGUACACCAAUCCAUAUUGCAAUGAGUUUAGCUACUAUUCGUCAAUAAUUAAAUCACCUUUAGUUUGUCUUUCAAAUGGUAGCUUGUUCAAUUCAGAAAUAUAGCACGAAAGAUCAUUCAUUGAAAGGUCUUUUUAAAUACCAAGCUAUGGGCUCAAUUAUAUUUUUCAUGUACUCUAACCACAUGUCUAAUUCCAACAUGACCAAUUAUAUUAUCACUGACAGAAACAAAAAUGACAAUGCCUUGCCUACUCAACUAAUUGGGGUCUAAAUUUCAGAAAGAUUCUUGGGCCGGGUUAGAAUUUUCCAAUAUAUUUCCAUUUUGAAAGAAAAUGAAGUUUUUAUAACGAGGAGUUACAAUGAGAGAGUUCAAUCCAACAGUUCAAUAAUAACUCUACAUUAAAUCGGAUUGCUACUAAAGACCCCACCCCCUCAUUAUAACCCUCUACCCUUCCUGCACACGAGCGGCAAGAAAUGGGCUUCACAUUGUACACAUGAUCCAGUUUUUCUCCAUUCUUCUUUUAAAGUUGCCCCAUUAAUUAUAGUGAGAACUGGGAUUCUGUUACAUUACACAAGGUAUAGAAGGGCCCAAUUGACAUUUCCUAAAUGAGCAACUGAAUCUGACCGUUAAUCUCGGGGUCGAACAGUCAACCUGUAACUAAAUCCUGCAGCUUACCUUAGAAAAUCCAGACCCAAUUAGUCUUUUUUAGGUCGGCUCAGCAGGCAAAAUUAUCGUCAAAUCAGACCAUGUGAUUUCUGUUUCAUCACUUGAAGCUGAUGGUUCAUGCAAAUCCAGCCGUCCUCGUCCUCAGUUUCUGGGACCUGGAAAGAGCAGCUGACGUGUACCUUCUGAGGACCAUGUUUCUUCUCACUCUUUUUAGCCCACCAAAUGGUUUGGUCUCUACUGUUCAAUUCAAUCUUCCAUGCUGCUUCAACCAAUACCAACUAUCUCUUUCCUCAUUUGAGUCACUUCUCUUUGACAAGUUCAUUAAUUUCACAAGUCUCUGUCUUGCAUUUCCAAAAUUCUUGGGGGGCUUCUGCCAGAAUUCUGGCAAUUUAGUUCUGUUUUGAGCUGAAACUUCUUCAAUAUCAGCAACAACAACCCAUUUCUUGUUUUAGAUUGUUUUCUUUUUUCUUGAACUCAGCAGCUCCAGGGAAAGAAAUCAUGGCUAUGCAUGUGAGCAGUGCAUGCUUUUCUGUUUUUAGUCACAGGAGAGUUCAUAAGAUUAGAGCUGUUGCUUCUGAAAAUGUGACCACAGAGGAUGAUAAGGUGAAACUGGGGGGUUCUGAUUUGAAGGUGACAAGGCUUGGGAUUGGAGCUUGGUCAUGGGGGGACACCAGUUAUUGGAACAACUUCGAAUGGGAUGGUAAGUUGCGGAAAUGAUUGAAAAACUGAGAAUCCCUUUUCAAAUUGAUGCUUUAUUUUGGUUAUAAUUGUGGGUAUAUUUGUUUCAGAUGAGAUUUUCAGAGUUUUUGAGCCAUUAUGUCUUUUCUAUUUUCACUUUUAUCAUUUGGGGAAGUGUUUUUAAUUUUGCUUCACUUUUUACACCUGCAAUUACAAUGUAAAGCCAUCAUCAGCUUCAAACUGUACACGAGAGGAAGUGAGCUAUAUUUGUAUGAUUCAACCUUAUGCAAUGGAAAUUCUUGUUGGUUGUUUGAUGGGUUUUUUAGGUGGGGCAAUAAAUCUUAAAAUUCAAUAUCUUUCUGAAUUGGUUGUAUUGGCAGCUUUGUUGUUAAGAUUAUGAAAUGCUUAGGUAUAUUGGAAAGUGGAAAUUAUUCAAUUGUGUUCAAUAUGGCAAUAUGUUUUGUGUAAAUUGCAGAUAGGAAGAUGAAGGCUGCUAAGUCUGCUUUUGAUGUCAGUGUUGAUGCUGGUAUAACGUUCUUUGAUACUGCUGAAGUUUAUGGCUCCAGGGUAGGAAAAGCGCCCUAUAUUUCCUUUGUUCCUCUCAAACAUAUGCCAUAAAGUUUUAUCAGUGUAAACAAAAAAAUUACUGUUCACUCUUGCAGGCUUCUUUUGGUGCUAUAAAUUCUGAAACUCUUCUAGGAAGGUACGUACUGGGAUAUAUUUUUUUUUUAUAGCGGCUCAUUCUACUUUCUAGUCAACAAAGAGUAAGGCUAAUCAUGGUUAAUUUCUGUAUUUUGAGAACAUUAGUUAUAUAACUUCCACUGAAUUUUACACAGAUUUGUCAAGGAAAGGAAAGAAAAGGAUCCAGGAGUGGAGGUUGCUAUUGCAACCAAAUUCGCAGCUCUGCCAUGGAGGCUGGGUCGUCAGAGUGUCAUUACUGCCCUUAAGGAUUCCCUCGGUCGCCUUGGAGUUUCUUCAGUAGAACUGUAUCAACUCCAUUGGUAUGUCCUUUACGUCAGGGUGUCAUUCUGCUAAUGUAACUACAAUAACUAAUCAAGUGUUUUGUGUUGAUUUUCAGGCCUGGAAUAUGGGGAAAUGAAGGUUGUUUUCAUAACUAAAUUUACUUUGUUUAUAUAUAACACCAUUUUUUUCAUAGAAUAAUUCUCUGUCUAGCUAAUGUAAAUAGAUGGCUAUAUAUAAUAAUCACCUUUUGUUUCUAAAGAGGCGUCUCUGGAAAAAUCAUAUUUCAGGGUAUCUUGAUGGUCUUGGAGAUGCUGUUGAACAAGGCCUUGUGAAGGCUGUUGGUGUUUCAAACUAUAGCGGUACAAAUCUAUCCUUUUAUCUAAUUAUGGUCAGCUGUUCGAAACAUGUCCUUUAUCUUUCUUUCUUUUUUCUUCUUUGUUUUAAGUAAGUACAGAAUAUAUUGACACAUCGAGAAAGAAAUUUACAAAAAUGGAUCCCCUCCUCAACUAAUCUGAACAUGAUGCACAAAGAUCUUUAUUGCAGAAAGGCGAUUGCGUGAGGCACACAAGAAACUUCAAAAGAGAGGUAUCCCACUAGCAUCAAACCAAGUGAAUUACAGCCUCAUAUACAGGGCACCGGAGGAGAAGGGAGUAAAGUCUACCUGUGAUGAACUUGGGAUCACUUUGAUUGCCUAUUCGCCUAUUGCUCAAGGUGAAGUUGGAACCUUGUAUUUUCUUAAUCUAUUUUCAUUUUCAUUCAAUAUCUUAGCUUAAGAAUUAAUAAAAUCAUUUUUAGAAGGUAUAAUAUUUUUUCAAUUUACAGUAUUCAAGACCUCUCUGAGCAAUCUUCAGAAAUUGGGGCUUAAGUUCAUCCUAUUGUUAUCUUUUGUUUUAACUUAAGAAGGGUAUAAACAAUGGAAACAAAAAUCAUUGCUGAGUUAGGAGAAAGCAGGCUUGCUCACUUUUGUCACCGAUCCCCUGAUUCUGAAUUUUGAGCAUUCCUUUUCAAGCAGUUCUUAACUUCAACAUUAUGAGCUUAUUUCUUCUAUAUUGUGUGAUAGACUAGUUCUGGCUCCUAAAAGAAACAGUGAAGAAGUAAAAUUCUCUCUUUCUCGUGCAUUUUUUAAAAUCUUACUGUGUCUUGCUUAUUCUUGAAUUCAACUAUUUUUGGAUAAGUGGUAAUCUUGCUUGGUAAAACCUUUAAAGUGAAAUAUCUAAGAAAAUGGAGGUGUUUGUAUAUCUGCUUUUCUACAUUUAAACUCAUAUUUCACCAAACCAGUACCUUGUAACAAGUGAAAAACAGCUGGGUUAUCCGCCCAUUGCACAGUUUUAUUUUUUAUUUUUUAUUUUUUUUAUAGAAUGCACAGUUUGUUAUUAGGUAAGAAAUUGGACAGUUUUUAGUAAUAAAAGGGCAUGCAGUUAGUCUGAAACAAAAAAUAUGUGAAUUCUUGAUAAAAGAUGUCUGUUGAGGUCUUAUAUUAUCACUUGUAAUCUCUGCACAACCCUGGUUACAAUGAUUACAGCCUUUAAUCUCAGAUCUUAGUAGGUUGGUUUCCGCAGAAGCCAAGUUUUUCUGUCUGAUCCUGGUGUGAAAGAGAUUGAGAAUAUUGAAAUUUCUACUAUUUAUACAUAUGCAGGUGCUCUUACAGGAAAGUAUACACCUGAAAAUCCUCCCACCGGCCCUCGAAGACAGAUUUAUACUCCUGAAUUUCUUACAAGGGUAAAGCAUAGUCAAUACUUUGAAAGCCAGUUACACAGUAAGUUCCAAUUUUAUUGCUGAAAUAUCAUUUUGAUAUGCAGCUCCAGCCUCUGCUGAACCGGAUCAAGGAAAUAGGAGAAAAGUACAGUAAAACAAACACACAGGUUUGUUAAUGCUCUUUAACUAUUGUAUCUUUUUCAAUUAGAAGUCCUCAAUUUUGUCAUUUCCGUGGAAGCAUGGCUGAACAGUAACCAGCAAUACCUAUAUUUUAGUAGUUAAGUCAUGUUAGACGUGGAUACAAUUAUCAAACUCUUGAUAGAUACCAAAUUGCAGGAAAGACAGAGCUCUUUGUUUCACUGUUUUUAGUAUAUGUAGACCAACUCUCUGUAGUUUCAUGCUCUCCAUCAUAUAAGAUCAUAAACCCACAUAUUGAUAUCUUGGACAAGAUUUCUUGAAUGCAGAAAUUCAUAUUUGGGCAAUCUAAUUUCUAACUCGCUGGGAUUUAAUGUGAGUUGGGUUCCUCUGCACAGGUUGUCCUAAACUGGUUGAUAGCCCAGGAUAAUGUUGUGCCAAUCCCAGGAGCCAAAAAUGCAGAACAGGCUGCAGAAUUUGCCGGUGCACUUGGAUGGAAGCUCGACAAUGAAGAAGUCGCUGAAUUGCGCUCUUUGGCUACAGAGAUAAGACCCGUUACUGGUUUCCCUGUUGAAAACUUAUAGAUUUUUGUACAAGCAUCUGAGUUGUAAAUUCCCCUAUACAAGAAUGUGUACACUUCUUCAUAUCAAAUACAAAUAUCAUGUUUUCUAUAAGAAUGAUUGCAGGUUGACCAUUAAUGUAACUAAAUCCUGUCCACAUUUUUAGCCACUUUAGAUCUGUUUGGAGACGCUAUCAUUUUGGUCUUAGCACAAAUUUUUAAGUGCUUGAUCAGAUGGAAAUGAUGUGAUGGAAAAACUAAAUUGUUUUCUUAUUCAGGUAUUACUAGCUUACAACUUUACAAUCUAUUAAAAAGACUAUUGACAGAAUACUUGGAUAAAGACACUUUCUACCUCAAAAGUUGAAAUUGUUUUUCCCAGAUCAAAACAAGAGCAUCAAGAAUUAAGUGAAUAGAUCGGAUUUUGAUCCGAAUCCAACGUAACUAAUAGGAGAUGGAUUGAACUUCUAAAUUCGAUAAUUCGAUUAUAAAUGGAUCCGGAUAUGAAUUAUAGUUGAUUCGAUCCGACUUAGUAUGAAGUAUAAUUUAGUUUUUCUAUGCUUUAUAUUAAUAUUUUAUCUAUGUAAAUGAGUAAUUUUAGUUUUAUAUGCACUUAGUAAGAAUACACUUAAAACUAAAUUUUAUGAUAAAAUAUCAAAAUUUGAUGUAAAAAGUAGAUAAUUACAAUACAAGAACGAGGCUACUAAUGAAACUUUGAUUUCUUGUACAUCUCAAAAUAAAUCCAAUAAUAAUUCAAUCUGAUCCAAAUCCGAUGCGUAAUGGAUAUGGAUUGAUAGGUGCAAUCUGAUAAUCCGAUUAUAAAUGAAUUCGGAUUUGGAUUAAGGUAUAUCUAAUCCGUUUGCAGAUUAGUUCGUCCUUUUUUUCUUUCUUUUUUCCAAUUUCUAACUUCUUUCUUUGUUUAUGCACGGAAAAUAAGCCCAUAAUUCCAAACAUAUUAAUUGGAUUGGAGGAUGAAUAAAUGCAUUUUGGUACCUAGUUGACCAUGUAAUUGCCUUCUCCAGCUACAGACACAACCAUGGACCCAAUUCGAUAUUAAGAGAGUAGUUAUUUGGUAGGCCUUGCCGCCCCUGUACUGAAAACGACAAUAAAUCAAAGCCAAAGGUUCAUAUUAGAUAGCAGCCCUAUCCAUUGCUGGCUAAGAGGCUAUAUUCUCUAUAAAACCAAAAUGACAUGAAUUUAAAGUUCAUAAACACAAGUUUAGUUCCUCAAGCUCAACCCAUGAAGCCUACCCCUUUAUACAUUGCACAGGAUCCUAGUCUCCCCAGCCAAAAAACUACCACCUCCAAAUUAAUGCCAAGAAUUGCUCAAACAAUUCAACAGCUUCUCUUCUCAUUUAGACUAGGGCUUUCCAUUUAGCUAAGUUUUUAAAGGUGGAGAUAGACCCACUUUAGUUCUCUCUCUCUCUCUCUCUCUCUCUCUCUCUUUUCUUUCUUUUUUUUUUUUUUGGUGAAACAGUCAAAUUCAUUGAUAAACAGGGCAAAAACAGAAUAUAUACAACCCCAAAGGAAGGUUCUUGCAAUACAGAAAAUCUAGAAAACAUAAUCAAUCCGGCAUAAACAUUGCCCGACAGUGAGUAAAAAAAAUUCACAUCUUGAAACCCAGCUCACUCGGAGUUAAAGAUGAGGAGUACCCAUAAAAACUGUAGCAGCCAGUGCUUCAAGAAGACCAUGACACAGAACAAUCUCUCAAUCAACUUGGGACAAAAAACACCUUCAAGUGGAGGACUUUACCCACUUUAGUUCUUAUCAUGAUUAACAGGAAGUAUAAAACAGGACCUGCUAGCAAAUUCUGUAGGCCACCAUCCUGCAGUAAAUUCUAGCUUGGAUCAAUAAGUCUGCUACCACCAGCACAUAAGGCAAGGGUUGGCUUGCAGUUGGGGAAGAUUCCUUCCAAGUGAACAAUUGGAGUAAACCUGGUCCAUGCUUCUUUUAUGUGCUUUUACUUUGUAUCUGUCCAAAUCCAUGCCAAGUCCAAUUCCUAUCAUCACUGCAUCCCAAUUGGAACAAGCUUUGAAGAUACCAUCUUUUCUAUAUAUUCUUCUCAGUUAUAUAUUUUCCAAGCACAAUCAUACAAGUUUUGACAACUUUUUUCUUCAUAUUUACCUAAAACACAAUAGGGAGAAGAUUAAUCCUUCUUUCAAUUAGACCUAUCUAUGUUUUGAGAAAUUGUUGUUUUUCCAACUUUUAGACAUCUGAAAUUGAAGAAAAUGACUUUAUAACUUUCAUAGAGAUAAGAAUAAGAUAAGUGCAAAUUUGCAUUGCAUCAUCCAAAAAUCUAAGCAUGACAUAAAAAAUUCCCAACUUGCCAAGCUGUCAAAAACUUGGCCUCUGACAAUCUUGUCCCUCAUCAUUGUCCAAUAAAAUGUGCAGUGCCGAUGCAAACGUGGCACCACCCUCAUACAUUAUCAGAUAGCACAGAUUGAAUGUGCUGCAAGUUCUAGAUUUGGUUGCCUUAAAAUAACCAAUCCCCCAGUCGUCCAAUUCUAACCAUCUACAUUUUACAGCACUCAAAGCUGACCCAGCCACAAGUUUACAGCAUGGCACAAUUGGGCAACUGCCACGUGGAAUGCUAUCAUGGGUUUCUGUAGAAAUUUGAAGCUCUGUGUUACUAGCCAAUCUCUGCUCUGACCUCUGUGACAAGUCCCUGUCCUUCUAACUGUUGUUAAAAGAGUUUUUGGUCCAUUCCCUUCCCAGUUUCUAGUUGUUCUUCUAGCUCAGCUCACACACAAACACACACAGAGAGAGUGAGAGACUUGUGGUGCUUUCCAAAACAGCAAUUUAUACACUGUAGGCUUUCAGUUUCCACUUCAAGAGAAGUCAGAGCUUGGCUUUUGAUCAGGGUUGCUUUUCUAUUUCAUUUUCUGCUUCUGGGUGCUAUUUUAGUACUCAUUGCCCUUCUGGGUUUUUAACUUUCUCUUCGUUUGAAGAUUUUUUGCUUUUGGGUUUCUUUUUCUAAAAAAAACCAGAAUUUUUUCAUGUCAUAUCAUUCUUUCUCUUUCUUUUUUUUUUUUUUUUUUUUCACUUCUUAUUAGUAUUUUCCCUUAAGUGGUCAAUGAUGUCUCUAUUUUCAAGUGCAGCUUUUUAGUUGAUUUUUCUCCAGUAUUUGCCUAUUUCCAUGGUGGGAUUAUUUUAUUCUGGGUUCCAUGUGACUCUCAAUUUUUUUAAUAAUGAAAAGUCUAAUUUGGGUGGGCUCUUAAUUUUUUAAUCUGUAAAGAGCAUGUGGUGUGGUAAACAAUAUAUUGGGGCUUCAUUUCAUUGCUUCUCUUAUUCCAUUUCUUAGUACAGUUCCAUAUUUGGUAUGCUGCAACAUCUUUUGUUGGUUAUUGUUUGAUUAUUAAAUUAGUUAGUCAGUUGACCAACUAAUCAAUUAGUAUUUUAAGUUGGUUUCUUCUAGAUGAGGUAUCAGAGCUUCUAAAUAUGGUUAUCAAUCAUUUACAAUAAUCUAAAGUUGUCUUCUUGCUUUGUUUUACAGAAAUCCUGUCUGCUGAGACAUGAAUUCUUGCAUUCCUGACUGGAAUUUUGAGGCUGAUCUCCCUUUGACCAACCAAAAGAAACCCAUGGGGUCUGUACUCUCUUAUAUAUCCUCAAAGUUAUUGCCAGAUUACUUGCCUGACUAAAAUAUUAUGCAUUUUGAACUUGUUGAACUAUCUUGAUUGGGUGGCAAAUUAUACAGGCCAGACCAUGAACUAGUAGAGCUCUUGUGGAGAAAUGGACAGGUAGUUUUGCACAGCCAAACGCAUCGAAAACCGUGUCCUAAUCCUCCUAAUGAGGCCAGACAAGUUCAAAAACAAGAUCCGCAAACCAUAAGGGUUGGUGGAUUAUAUGGGAACUCAAGUAAUUUGACUCAAGAUGAAGACACAGGUUCCUUGAUCCACUACCCUCUUGAAGAUUCCUUUGACAAAGAGUUCUGUUCCCAUUUUUUUUCUGAAUUGCCUUCCUGUGAUCCAAUUGAGAUUGACAAGCCAACCAAACAAUUUGAAGAAGAAAAGUUUGCUAAGUUUGGUGCUUCUGAUACCCCCCAUCUUGUUUCCACUGCCCCCCAACCUAAUGUUAAGUCCCCUGCUGGUAUGGGAUAUCCUGCAAACCCAAUGCCUCCUCCAAGAUAUCAAUACAAUAACUCAACUGAGCAAAACCAAAAUCUAGUAGGCUUGGGGAAAGUAGUUAAUUUUUCAACAUUUGCUACCCCAGGUAAGGGUGAUAGAGGAUCUUCCAGAGGAAAAAUAGGAGGGAAAGAGUCUGGCAAUUUAACUCAGGCGGAGGUUAAAGAGUGUUCGGUAAUGACCGUUGGUUCGAGUUACGUUGGUAGCAACCAAGUUCUAAAUGACUUUGAUGUGAGCAGGGCUUCAAGCAAUUGUGAUGGGACGACUGGUUUAUCUGUUGGACCCUUCUAUGACAAUGUUCAAAAGAUGAUGCCUCAGAAUGAGAGAGGGAAAACAGAUACACUAGACCCAACUCUUACUUCGUCUUCUGGUGGUUCUGGUAGUAGUUUUGGCAGAGGAGGAAAGCGGUCUAAUGUUGUCAAUAGCAACAAAAGAAAGGGUAGAGAUGCUGAGGAGUCAGAGUGCCAAAGUGAGGUAAAAACCCUCUCUCCAAUACAUUGACUGCUUGUAGCAUCACUGUCUUUUCACCAUGACCAAUAACCUGUUUAUGUUUUAGGCUGCUGAACUUGAGUCAGCUGCAGGAAACAAGUCAGCACAACGGUCUGGAUCAUCCAGGAGGAGCCGUGCUGCUGAAGUCCAUAAUCUCUCAGAAAGGGUAUGAGUUUCCUAUCAUUUCAUAGUUUUGGAAUUUGUGAUUUUGUUGCUGUAACUUGUUUUUUAGUUACACUAUAACUUGUUCAUUGAUGCAGAGACGGAGAGAUCGGAUCAACGAGAAAAUGAGAGCAUUGCAAGAGCUCAUACCUCAUUCUAACAAGGUUUACUUUCUUAAAGGCCAUUCAGUUUUUUCUGUCUGUAAAAAAAAAAAAUACCGCCGGCACUCACAAUAUCUUUCUUUAUUCAUACUACCUAUUAACUUGUUUUCUUUUCUCUUGUAGUCUUUCAAUUUUUAUGUAAUCAUAUAUUGUUCUGACUGAAUUGGUCCUUAUUUUUCAGACAGAUAAAGCAUCAAUGUUAGAUGAGGCAAUUGAAUACUUGAAGUCUCUUCAGAUGCAACUUCAGGUACAAUGGCACCUCAUAAAACUCAAACUGGUCCUAUAUUGUUUGUAGCUCAAGCUACUAAUAACAACUUUCCUUGGUGCUUCAGGUAAUGUGGAUGGGAAGCGGGAUGGCACCAAUGAUGUUUCCAGGCAUGCAGCACUAUAUGUCCCGAAUGGGAAUGGGAAUGGGAAUGGGAGUGGGAAUGGGACCACCAGCCUUGCCUUCAAUGCACAAUCCGAUGCAUUUACCCAGAGUCCCUCUAGUUGAUCAGUGCAUUAAUGUGGCUCCAGCAACAAACCAGGCUGUAAUGUGCCAAGCACCGGUCUUGAAUCCAGUUGAUUAUCAUAACCAGAUGCAAAAUCCCGCUUUUCAGGAGCAGUAUGCGCGUCUUAUGGGCUUCCAUCAUAUGCAGACUAUGUCUCAGGUUUGUGUUCUUUGUCUUGAAUUAAAUGUUUAGUAAUAUAGUGGUUUUGUACACAAGUAAAUUAUUCGCCAUUCGUGUCUUGUUAGACAUGCUUUAUUUUUUUUUUCUAACUGUAUUGUUUUCAUUUUAUCAUAUCCAAAUUUUCUUGCAGCCUAUGAAUAUGUUCAGAUUUGGCUCCCAGCCUAUGCAACAGAAUCAGAUGACAGCACCAACUGGCAUCAACAGUGGACCUUUAGGUGGAGGAGGUACAGCUAAUGAUACUUUAAGUGGCAAGAUGUGUAAGUCACUUCAUCAACCACUUAUCCUUAGGUCACUUUAUUGAUUUCUAAGACUCAGAUUUGCAAACAAAGUAUGUGGAAAGUUAUAUUGAUAGGCCAGUAACUGACUGCUCCUCCGUCUUUGAGAUAAUCAUUGUUUACAAGAAGCAUGCUUAACUUUUCAAACUCAAAAGGGAGUAACUUAUGUUAAAGAAACCGUGUGAACCGUAGUUUGUGGAUUCUUAUGUUUGAUGGCUGUCAAAAUCAGGGUCUAUGUAGCAAAUUGGGGUGAACUUAUGAAUAUUUCCUAUCUUAUCUUCGUUUCAAUCUCCCAAUAAAGUGAAUGGUCUCAAACUUCUUCCCUGCUAUGAGGGUUUGGCCGCAUAUAAUCUUGCUGUGCACAAUUGUGGCUCAUAUUAUCUGCUAAAAUAGAGGCCAUUAUGUCUUCUUUUAUUUGCUUACACUGAAUUCUCCUUUUAGCUGUCAACAGUCCUGACGCUGAUGCUCUUUAGCUAUAAUUGUCAUUUUGACAUGUAAAAAACUGUUUUGUUUUUGUUAAAUCCUUGAUGCCAUAAGUGUCCCUGUCAUACUAAUUUUAAUGGACACACAGCCUUUUUCUGAUGUUAACAGGUUAAUCAGUGAGUAUGCAUGCUUAUCUCCUCUCUAUGGUCCCCUGGCUUAUUUAACAAGAUUAUUUCAAGGUGGCAAAAGUUGUUGUGUUGAAUAUAUUUCUAGCUCGCACGGUUCGCAUGCCUCCCCAACCAGUGAGCGUGACGUACGAUCUUACAGCGUAGUUGAGGUGAUCGAAGAGUCACUUCUCCUACGUACAUGCCAAUGAACAACUACUGCAAGAGUUCAAACAUCCCAAGCCUAGUUGCGCAGCUUCCUGAAUUGAGUUUUUGACUCUGGUAAAAAGUAAAAUAGUAUUUCAGUUCAUGUCCAAUAACAUGUAUAAAAUACAGGCAUUUUUCUGCUCAUUGAUGUUCUCUUAUAAAAAUAUGCCUCAAUUUUUUAAUGGAUAUUGAUGUUUCCUGAAGUGUUUCUUUGUUUGCACCUUUAUGCUUAUGCUUUUGCCUGUGAUGGUUUUAUCUGUCACUGUAAGUAACUGGAAAUGAAUAAAGGAAAAAGUUGAAUCACUGAGGCUUUUCUCUUUUACAGUUCAUGUUCUGAAAUAUUAGUCCAUUUAUGACCUGUUGUUUUCAAGGUUUGAAGAUCAAAAGGAAUUUGCUGUACCACUCUUUCUCAAGCUUUAUCUUGUUCUUUACAAGUCAAGCUGCAAUUAAUUGAAAGGUAGUGGUGUCUUGGAAUCAAAAUAAAAGCAAAGCCAACUACUAUCUGCUCUGCAGAUAUUGGGGAGAAAAACUUGUAUAUAACGGGGAUAAUACUAUUUUGCUAUUUCCAACCAAUCAUGUUCCGCCACACGUAAUAAGGAUUCUAAUUGGCUGAGCGUGAUUGGAUGGGGAUAGCAAAACAAUGCUAUCUCCGUGACAUGCAAGUCCUCGAUAUUGGAGUACCCUUUUUUUUAUCUCUAACUCCAUGUUACACGAGUCAUAAAACUCCAAGAUCAAGCACAUGGCUUGCAGGGCUGAUCCUUUAUUGCAUAAUUUGACUUGGAGCGCUCCUUCAUUUUAUUUAAUGGUGGAACCUAUGAACAUGGAAACUUUCCAAAAUCUGAUUAAAAUGGUGUGCUUUGUGCUUCUCACAGAGUCAAGUAUACAACUUGUGCUUCUGUAUUUCUAGCAUUUUGAUCUUCAAGUCAACAACUGCCACAAAGAUUAUGUCUCCUCCUCCCUACCCUUUUUCUGUAGAUGCUUUUCUUUUCUGGUUUCCAAUUGUUUCACCAAGUUCAAUAAUUGGUCUUGAAGCAAAAAUGUCUAAUUAUGUUUUAUUCAGAUUAACAAGUUUGGAACCAACGUGCCUUUUAGCUUAAGUACCGAGAUUAGUUAGUGAGGAGAUAAUUAGGAGGUACGAUCAAAUAUAAUAAUGACUUACAAGUGCACGUGCAUGACUCACAUAGGUCUCCCACUAUCAUUAUAAAUAAUUAAUAAAUAAAAUUAUUUGAUCAAAAUGUCAUUUCCUUUCCAGCAAGAAGGAUUUCUGCUUUCUCCGACAUGUAUAAGAUCAUCAUUAUAUUCUAUCAAGUGGGGUGGGUUUCAUAUUCAUCUUUCCCAAAUUCCAACUCACUUUGGAGAACUAUUUGAUCAAUCACAUUAACUGAUGACAUCUAGCAUAAAGACGAGACACAAGUGAAACUCACUAAUGUGAGCCGGUAAGUUAUAAUUAACAAUGUGAUCAGUAACUAUCGUACAUAUAACGUUACGGUUAAUUAUACAUAUAUUAUUUUGAUAUCUUAUUAAAAUUGAUAUGUUUUCACCUUCCCCAAGUUGUAUCUCUUUGUUUUUUUAAUGGCUUUUGGGAUGAGGGUUGGGGGUGGUCCUUUUUAUAAUGGGCAGAUUCCCCUUAUAUUUAUUUUAAAUGAAAAUAACUAGGCAUCAUCAUCAUGAAUUCAAGACUAUUGCUUCCGUCAACAUAAGGUGGUUGAGUUGGUAAGGAUUGUUUUUUUUGCUAUCAAGGUUUAGAUUCAAAUUCCGCUGUCGACAAUUCCUUUUAGUUGGUAACCUCAAAGAGGCCUUGGUAUACCUGAUCUUGAGAUGGGAAUAGCCUUCCCUUCCCCUAAACUUUUUGUUACCGAAAAAAACAAGACUAGUGCUUCCCAAUUAUCAUGGGCCCCACAAGAAGAUCUAACCAUAUAAGCAGAUAACAGAAGAUAAAAGAUGUCAAGGGCCAUUUGAAGCUAGUGGCAAAAGCCAGCUUUCUUUUCUUUUUUCUUUUUUAAAUUAAUGAUUAUUAUUAUUAAUAUCUCCUCAGUCCCCACUAUAUAUCUUUUUCUUGAUGUUGGAAGGUGGAUGAAGAUUGAUGUUGCCGGCCGCAGCAGAUUGGUCCCAUUCUUGCAAAACUUGCCUACAGCCAACGUAGUUCAUGAACAUCUUUUUUCUUGGCUUCUGUCUUGUCCGCAAGUUGGAGGGACUUGAGAUAGUAAUUUCCAGUCAUGUUCACUGCAUUAAUCAUCCCGAUCAUUUAUGCCCCACUUCCAAGAUUUUCACUUCAUUCUGAAAAUCAAUUGAUUUUUCCUCUCAAUCAUUAGCCUUCUUUCUUUUACCACCUAAUAAAUCAUUGGUUGAUUUUUUGUUUAUUGCCAACACCAAAUCAUUGGUUGAGUUUUUUAGGUAAGAAAAUCAUUGGUUGAUUACUACAUCAAUUUGAAUAAUUUUAUAUACACAUUUUUUUUUUAAGUCACAAGAAAUUACAUCAAAAACGAACUUUCGAAGCUACUGAUUGAGCAAUCCUAAUCGAUUUGUGGUUAGGGUUCGAGGCUUGAGACUUGGAUUUAGGGUUUGGAGGCUCAAAUCAAUUUUUGUAAUGCUAAAAUCAUUUUCUAAUAAUUGAGACUGUUUUUAAAAUAUAUUCAGAAAUUAAAAAUAAUUUUAAUGUCCACAAAAUUAUUUAAGAUAAGUAAAUAUAACUAAUUAUGAUUUAUUAAGUAAUUUAUGGAAUUAAUUAAAAUACUUCAAUACUAAUUACUCAUUAAAUAAAGAAGAAUUAAAAUAUAAAAAUUGAUUAAUAUAAUUAAAUAAGGCUAAGAUAUUACUUAAUUGCGACAAACUAAUUUUGUAUUAAAAAAAUAAAAAAACAAAUUCCACAAAAUAAUUUAAAAUAACUAAUUACUAUUUAUUAAGUAAUUUAUGAAAUUAGUAAAAUAUUUAAAUACUAAUUAUUCACUACUGAAAUCUAUCUAUAUAUAUAAAGCAAAAAGCAGAGAAUUGUGAAACAUUCAAAUUACUGGAAAAUGCCCUUGGUUAAUGCAAACAUUAAGAAUUCAAAUUAUUAAUUAAAUGAGGAUAAUAUGGUAAAUUCACACUUUUUCAUAUUUAAAAAAAUUAAAAGAAAAAGAAAAAGCAGAUAAUGGAUCCUAUUUUUAUGGAACACAACUACCCAUUAUCUUUUUUAAUUCUAAAAUAAAUUUACUUAUUUUUUUAAAAAAACCUCUCGCAAGCGCGGAAGCGCAUGCAGAGAGGCUAGUAAUAAUUAAAGCAUAAUUACUAAUUAAAGCAAUCAAAAAAGGCUAGUAAAAACUAUUUUGUGCAGUAUCGCCGAGCGGCUAUACUUUUAAAAUAUUCGUAUAUUCAAAGGGUAUCUCCGUGCGGAUAUGCUAUUUCAAUAUUAAUAUAUAUUGCCAGUACAGUCGUGUGGCUAUACCCGUAAAAUAUAUUCGAAUAUAUAUUUUGAAAGUAUAGCCGUACGGCUAUAUUUUUAUUGAUUAUAUCUAACGAGUGUAGUCACGCGGCUAUACUGUUAAUGUAUUCGAAUAUAUUUUACGGGUAUAGCCACGCGGCUAUACUAUUUAAAUAUUAAUAUAUUUUAAAAGUACAGCAGCCCGGCUAUACACUUAAAAUAUUUGAAUAUAUUUAACGAGUAUAGUCGCGCUGUUAUACUUGAACAAUUUAAUGUCAUGAAAUUCAGCACUCCAUACAAAAAGUCAGUAAUUAACAUUUUUACAAUUUGGAUUUGGAUUGAGAGGAGGCAUGACUCUAAUUCUAAUUAUUUGAAUUUUCCAUUUUUAAUAACAACAAAAAUAGUAGAUGUGUCUAUAUUCUAUAAUUUCUUCAAUUCAUGAGCAUUUGUUACACACAUUAGUUAGAGAAUAUAUUCCAUUCCUUCUUCUACCUUGGUAAAACCAUUCAAACAUUUCACUGGUUUCUGGAAAUCAAAAUCACAACAAAUGGUGUUGGGUUUUGAAAAUAAAGACCAAAGAUGAAAAAGGCUGGAAACUUUUGUCAAGUGGGCCUCUUAAGGCUUCAAUAGACCCAAGCAUGGGCCUCCUUAGCUAACAGCAUGCUUAUAAAAGAGGUGGCCUACUAAUAUUAUUAGUACCCCUCAACAACCCUACCCCAUUUGUAUUUGCUCCUCAUACAGCACAUGCAACAAGUGUAACAUGUGGGGGGAUGUUCACCUUUUAAUUCCACGUUUUUCAUCAUCUUGUGAAGAUGAAAACUACAUUUUAGGGUCGGUGUGAAGACUAAUUAUACCUUGAGAAUUAGGGUUGGCUAGCCCUCGGUGCUGGUUUAGAUAAGAAGGAAAGAUCGACAAAUUUGUUUUAGGGUUAUGAUAAAUAUAGAAAGAUGGUUGGUUAGUUUUUAGAGUAUUUUCAUCCAUUUAAAUUGACUGCUGACGUCAUAAUGAUGUCAGCAUUAAGUCAUCUUACCCAAGCAGCAAAGCAGAUAAGUUUUGCCUUGGGGGCUCAAGCUAGUGGAGCUCAGCACUUGCCCUAGCAAGCCUUGGCCGUUGGAAACGGGAUUGAGGGCCUCUUGCCCAGACUAGCUCCUCCCUCUGGAAAUACUCUUAGUGCUAGUUUAGAUAACAAGGAAAGAUCGAGAAAAUGGUUAGAAUUAUUAUAAAUAAUGAGAUAUCUUUUUACGUUAAUGACGGAAUGUGUAUCAACCAAUGCACAGCCGGAGGCCGUACUCACGAAUAUCUUUAGUAAAAUUCAAACAAAAGAUAUGAAGAUUACUUGUUGUCACAUUCGUUCGUGUGUAUAUGAACAUAAAAUGUGACUGGUUUACUAAUGCAAUUAACAAAGAAUGUUGAAGAAGAAUCGGAACUUAUUAAAUCCAUUCCCUAAGUUUUUUGCUGGGCUUUUGAUUUUCUUGCCUUUGGCAAGUUUUUGUCUCACCCCUAGGUUUUUAGGGGCUUAUUCUCAGCCUCUUCGGCUGAUCUUGGCCGAAUCUAAGGCGAUCUCUCACUUUUGGCCUAUGAUGGUUGUGUUGUGUUCUUGAUUUUUGGGCUCUGGGUGGGUGUAGAUCCCCUUUGAUCUAUCUUUUGCGGAGGUGGAGUUGAAGCAUUUGGUGGGAUCUACUAUCUUAUGGUGGUGUGGGAUCGUGUGUGGUGCUGGUGAUGCUGUGACUUUUUUUAAGGUCAAGGUCGAAUUUGAGUGGUAAAUGUUCUUUAAUUUUAGGGUGUUUCCAGUUCCAAAAAUGGAUGAGACCUAGUUCUCUGACACGAUCUCUCAGCACUGGUUGCAGAGUUUCCACUCUGAGUGAGCUUGGAUUAAAGGAAAAGAAAAAGAAAAAGAACAAAACAAAACACCAAAUCCCGGGACUGAAGUGAGCAAUUGGUGAAAGAAGAAACAAAAGAUGGUAAGAAAAAAGGCUGUUUCUGUUUCUGACUUCUGUAAGCGCACAAGGCGAGGAGGAAAGAGAAGAUAUAUGUGUGACCAUAAAUAAAAGAAGAAAGAUAAUUUACUGCAUUUUCAACACGUGGUUGGUUAAGUGCCCAUCAAUCUUCUUCUCCUUCAUGUGGGUCUUUUUUCCCACAUGACAUUUCAUGUUUUCCACGGAAAAGGUGUUUCAGCUUAAAUCACUGGUCCACCAAACUUGGUCGGUGGUGGUGACCCAUUGAGUAAUGAAAGAGCAAUAAUAUGAUACACAUGGAUUAAGGAAAUUUAUCAUAUUAAUUUUUGUAUUUUCACCAAAUCCUUGGGUAAACAUCAGUCCUUUUUUUAGAAAAUGGGAUUUCAUUAACACAUCAAGAAAACACUAUAAGAUGUGACAACAUGUAUACAAGUAGCCUUAUUAAAUUUUUUUUUUGAAGAAAACCCAAAAGGAUAAAAUCUUAAAAUAUAAACCUUUAUUACUGUGGUAGUGUGUAUUAGUAGUUUCAAGUUCGAACCCUUAUAAUACUAAAAUAGUAUGUGUGUGAGAAACCUCUUCCACCUAUAGUUUACACUAUCGCUUAUACAAAAAAAAAAAUCUCAUCUUAUUGAUUUGUCAUUUGCCCUCAAAUCAUGUCUCUCAAAUUCUAAAUUAAUGGUAAUUGACAGCAAGGCCUGACUAGUUCACCUACACAAAAAUGUGAAUUACGUGAAAGUAAGAUACUCCAAAUUCGGGAGUCCAAGAGCGCCAUGGAUUUAAAAGUAAUUUUAUCAUUUUUUUUUAUUAAUAAAGUGAAUUAGUGUUUAACAUAAUAAAUUCAUGUAUGACACCUACACACAAUUAGAUUGUAAGUCGCUAUUAGUUUUAAAUGAUGCAUUUAAUCACUUAAAUAUAAAGGUAACGAACUUUUUGAGUGGUGAUAAGUGGGGCUCCUUUUGUUUCUGAAAAGGCACCAUGUACUCAGUUGAUAGUGAUAUUGAUAUGAUAGCCUAUUGAAUUUGAACCAGCAGAUUGUUGAAGAGAAUUCAUGUGUUUACUUCACUUCAAAAAAAAGUACAUGGUGCCUUUUCAUGAAUGUGGUAUUCUAAUUCAUAAAGAUAUAACCCAUUAGGAAUUCAUCUGUUUUACCAAUUAUAUCCUCACAUAAUUUUAAAAAUUCCAAAUUUGUUAUGUACUUUAACCCAACAAUAAGGACAUUUUAGUAGUUAGCACCACUCCAACCCCAAUUCUAUAUAGUUUAGUAAAGAACUUCAAUAGGACUUUGGAAUCUAAUUCUCCUCAAUCCAUAUGGUUUAGUAAACAACUUUAGUAGGAAUCCGGAAUCUAAUUCUCCUCAAUACAACUCCUCUUCAAUUCAAUUUUUCCUAAUUCAAUUACGGAUUAGUAACAUAUUGAAAAGAAAGGCCCAACGUGGAACCAUUCUUCGUUUCCAACCUAAACCAGCAAAGAUGUAUGAAAAAAACUGUUAACACUUUGGUUUUUAUUUUAUUUGUUUGUUUAAGUUAGGUUUAUAUUUUCUCCAUUAAUUGGGUGGUCCAUCUUGGUGGUUAUAAGUGGGGCCUGAAAAUAAUAAAGAGUUGUCAUGGUAGAAAAAGGUUAGUUGAUUACGACUUCUACAUACAUUUCUCUUUCGAUAUCCUUGUAAGUUGUAGACUAACUCAACUGGUAAUUAAAAAAUAAUUGAGGUCUAUUCAGCAUUGUAUCGUUUUCAAGCUACUCCACUAGGAUUGUGAGGAAUUUAAGCUUGAGACGAAAUCUCUGGAUUCAACAAUGAAUUGUAAGGAGAUGCAAGUUAGUUUGGUUGGCUAGAGCGACGUAUUCGUCCCUUGCACAUGACUCGCGAGCAUAAUUUUCUUUCAAGUAAUUUAGAGUAAUUUAAACUAUCACUUGAUUUUUAAAGUUUGCUUAACUUCAUAAUGACUUUUACAUUGCUCAUUUUCUUCGUUAUGUUUUUCACAUUUCUAAAAUAUACAGGGAGUUUCAGUUGAGGGUUCAUUCAAAUAUGCUUAUUUGAGGGACACCCUUGUAGGCCCCACUCUAUACUGUAUUUCACUAAUCCUAACUAUCUAUUUUGUAGAUACUUAUUCAAAGAUCAUCUUUACAAAAAAUCACUUGAAUCCGAUAUCAUUUAACUAUUCAAUUGAAUUACUGAAAUUUUAGUACUUUCUUAAAGCACCGUGUUCAUUGAUUUUGUAGGACAUAAUUGAAUAUCGAAACGGUUUUUGAUUUGUCCAAUUUUUUUUAAGGAUGAUCUAUGAAUGUAGACUUAAAAAAUAGAUGGUUUGGAUCGUUGAAAAAAAUAUUUGUAGGGGACCCUAAAAGGUGUUCCUAAAAUAAAAUUAUUUGGAGGAUCCCUGAAUAGAAGGAGACUAUAUAUAUAUGUGUGUGUGGGUGACAUGUAAGUAUUGAUUAUUACCACGCCAUAUGAUCAAUGUGAUGUAAAAAUAUGAUUCCUCUCGUAUUAUUCAUUUUCAAAUUCUGACUCCCCUUUUUAUCAUUUUGGUAUUGACUUUUAAGCUCCAUUUGAAAGGACUAUAUGCAAUGUGUCAAUGAGUCAUCUGAAAAUCCAUUUAUUUUCUUUAUUUUUUUCUUAUUCAAAUCUUGUCAUAUAUGAAUGGUAGUGAUCUUAAUCUUACAAUUUAACCUUAUAAUAUAAUCUGAUCCUUAGAUUUGAAUUCAUUCCAUCCAAAUGAAUCCUUACUUUUUCUCUGAUUUCGUACAUUUCACUUUAACUUCCAAAUGUGUUAAGUCUAUAAUGGCAAUGGAAGUCCUAUGUGUAACACUAUAAUUAUAAAUUAUUGGUUAGAUUAUCUUUAGGAAAAAAGAAGGACUACUUUCAUUGUAAACGUUAUUGUCAUGAGAUCUAAAUGUCCACUUACACCAAUUUAAAUAUUUGUGAUUUAGUUUAUUAGUGCCCCUCAUGAUAUAGAGUUUCACAAGAAAUAUGUUUGAUGCAUUACACAAUGCAUGACAAUGAAUUUAAUUAUAUAUAAUAAGGGCUAGAUAAAAUGGUAAACGGUGGAGAAUGGUGGAGAUAGGUGCACGAUUCUAUCUGAGUAGCUAGACUGAUUUUCAUCUAAUUAAUUAUAUGAUUUUUAAGUUUCACAUGAUUUGCAACCUUUCGAGAGAUGAUAUAUUUACUAGUGUUGAAAAGAUGCGUUCUACUUUAAGUAUUCAUUGUAGUUGGUGUUUUAUUAUUCUCGAUCAAUAACACAAUGAUAUGUAGGAUAAUUUUUUCACAUAUCAUACUGUUAUUGACCUAAGAUAGGAAAACAGUGUUAUUCCCAUUACAAGUGUUUUUCCUUAACAUUUCCCUUUUAAAUAGCAUGUGAGAAAAAAAAAAAAGAUCAAACAAACCAAAAAGAAAAAGAAAAAGAAAGAUAUUUGUAAAUUAGCACCAAAAAGUCAUGAUGAGGAUUGAAUGAGAUGAAUUGACCAGAGAAUUGUGUAUGUACAAUGUAUUGCAGAUGCCCCAUAUUGGUUGGAAGUUGGGUCAUGUGGUGUGUUUGUAUAUAAUAUAGAUAAUUAGGUUAGGUUCCGCCUAUAAUUUUAGGGUCCUCUUUGUAAAUGAUCUCUCUACUUACCACACGUUCGGUAAUUAUUGAUAAAUGAGAUUGAGAGUGAGUUAUCAAUCUUGAAUAUAUCACGUGGUUUUAUAAAUCAAGUGAAAGAGUUAUCAAUAUGAAGAGCAAAUUACGCAAUGCGAUAAGUAACUCUCUUUGUGGUGUUGAAUAUGAAAUUUGGAAAAGAACAAACUUAUGAAAUUUAACACUUUUCAAACAGUUUUUUUUUGGAGUUUCUAGGCGAACAACUUAAAUGUGGCAUUCUACUUUUGAUGUAUGUUUAUAUGAUAUAUAUUUUUUUUCGUAAAUUAAAAAAAUAUUAUAUGAAUUCAAAUUCACGAUUGUAACAUAAAAGAAACAAAUAAUAUACAAAAAUAUCAAUUAACUUUACAUAAUGAAGUUUUUCUACUACGUCUUUUUCAAUGGAUAAUAUAGCUAAGCCAUUCAAUAUAUUUUGUGACAUAAUUGACUUGAUCAACUUCAAUUUUGAAAAGAUUCUUGCUGCGGAGGCAACCGUGACUGGUACAAAAUAAUGUAAGCAAUCCAUGCAACUGGGAAACAACGAUAUAAGUCCUUCAAAUAAUUCAACACUUUGAAUUGGCCUUUUUGUAUCUUAUGGUAAAGUUUCUCUCAUGAUUUGUAAUUCGGGGAACAAAUCAUUCCCAUUAAUAAUAGAAAUAUCAUUAUGUUUCAUCAAACCUUCAAGAUUCCUACAACUGUCAUCAUUUGCAGUCUUCAACUUCUCCAAAUUGAAUAAAAAUUCAAAAAUUUCUUCUUAUGUGUGAAAUUGUUCAAAUCUACUUUUUAACUUAACAAAAUUGCUCUCUCAUAGGAAAGUUUCGAGUCCUAGUAUCUGUGUAGUGUGUGUCAGUUUAGUAUAUACCAUCGCUCCUCUCAAUAGAUCUAACCAAAUUAAGAAUUAAAUGAAAUUAAAUGAAAAUUUGAAAAUGCAGUCCACACGUGUAGUAGAUAUGAGCCAAUGUCUAUCUGGAAAAACUGUCUACAAGGAAAUUGUCAAAAUUAAGUUUAAUAUUUUACACGCCAAGAUAAAAAAAAAAUUAAAAACUACCCAAAGUUAGUCAACAUUACCCAUUUCAUUAAAAAGUAAUAGAGAUAUUCUAAUUGAUGACCUAAUUCAUUUUAUAUAUACAGCAUAAACAGCUCAUAUAACAUACUUCUACAACGUAUUAGGUCAUUAAUUUGUACAAUUUUAGACAAUAUACCUUUAUUUUAAUAUAAUAAAAGGAUCGCGUUUUAGAAAUGAAUAAAUAAGGGAGACUGCUUGCAAAUUUCUGUUUGGUGACUAUCAAGCAUGUUUAUAUUUCGGCUUAGUCAAAAACACCGGCCAAAAAACCAAUAAGAAACAAAUAUGAACAAAUCUAGCUAAAAUCAUCACAAAGAGGAACAAACCCGGCUUUGUUUGUACUGUUCUCUGUCUUUUUAAAAGUUUUGCAAUGAAUUGAAAUUUAAAAAAAUAAAAAAUAAAAAAUUUCAGCUCGGUGACUAUCAAUAUUGAGACUGCUUGCAUAUAAAAAUAUUGAGAACUUGGACAUGGACUUGAAAAUUUGAAAAUGUAGAGAGUGAAGACAUCACCAAAUCAGCAUCCUAGGAAAGCACUCGUCAUCACGUUCGUCUUUGGCAUGCUGCGUUUUCUAUUUUCUUAUUUAUUUCUCAACGCAUGGCCAUGAAAGCUUCACGUAAUCCAAAACAAAUAUGUAAAGCAAGUGCGUCAUAUAAAACCACAAAUUUACGGUUAGAAGACUUGGAUAUUUGUUUAGCAUCAUGACGUGUGUUUCUAGGUCAUGUUGUCAAAUAGCAACACACCAACUUUUAUUUUUAUAUAAAAGAAUUAUAAAUUGAUAAAAAUUAUGAUUAUUUUCUUUUGACAUAUAUAUAUACAAGCCUCUCUGUAAGGGCUUCUGUGUCUGCGAAAAGGCUUUUUUUAUUUUUAUUUUAUUUUUAUUUAUUUUAUUUAUAAAUUUUAAUUUAUUUUAGAAUUAAAAAAGAUAAUGAGUAGUUGUGUUCCAUUAAAAUAGGAUCCAUUAUCUGAUUUUGAUUUUGAUUUUGAUUUUAUUUAAAUAUAAAAAAGUGUUAAUUUACUGUAUUAUCCUCAUUUAAUUAAUAAUUUUAAUUCUUAAUGUUUGCAUUAACCAAGGGCAUUUUCUGGUAAUUUGAAUAUUUCACCAUUCUCUAGCUUUUGCUUUAUAUAUACUAGCCUCUCUGCACGCGCUUCUGCGCCUGCGAGAGGUUUUUUUUUAAAAAAUUUAAAUUUAUUUUAGAAUUAAAAAAGAUAAUAGAUAGUUGUGUUCCAUAAAAAUAGGAUCCAUUAUCUGAAUUUUCUUUUAAUUUUAAUUUUUUUAAUAUGAAAAAUUGUGAAUUUAUCAUAUUAUCCUCAUUUAAUUAAUAAUUUUAAUUCUUAAUGUUUGCAUUAACCAAUGACAUUUUUUGAUAUUUUGAAUGUUUCACCAUUCUCUGCCUUUUGCUUUAUAUAUAUAGAUAGAAGAUGAAUCAAAUAGAUGUUUCCCUAGCGGAAAAUAAAAUAAAAUAAUCAUACAUGUCCUAAUUUUACAAGAAAUGUAUGGAUGGAUUGAUAGCUCAUCUAUUUGAUGCAAAAAUAAAAAAGACCACUCUUAGAUUUGUAGUUCAUAACAUACAUGGCCUAGCUAAAAAUAUAUGUGGAAUGAGUGUCAAAUGAUUUUAACGCAAUAAGUUACGUUGUACAAUAAUAUUUUGAUAUAAAUAUAAAACGGCGUAAAUCAGACAAAAAAUAUUACAAAUAUUUGAUACGAAUAUGAAAUAAUUGAACUUGAGCAAUGGGACGGAAAGAAUGGAAAACAACCUCUACUCACACUCAAUAAGGUUAUUCAUUAGUAUUUUAUAAAAGAGCACUUUCUAAAGUGCUUGAUGAAAUGCCUUAAAAAACUAAGAUAAACAUUUGAUCGUAUGUAUAUUCUUGCAUUUACCCAACAAGAACAAAAAAAGAAUUUUCUGAAUUUGCCACUACCCUAACUAGGUAAGAAUUUAAAUUCCAUGCUGCAUAUGUAUAGCAAAUUUACUUGACGUAGAAAAGGAAAAGGAAAAUGAAGAAUAGGAAACAAAAUUCAAAAAAGAAAAUUUCAAAUAAUUUCAUAUCAAUAUUAAAGGCUGAAAGACCGUACACGGUACACCAGUCAAUACACAAAAACCGAAUAUGCCCCUACUUUGCAAAUCCCAGUGUUUGCGCCAAAAUUGGAAUCACAGUCCCGGUAAAUUUCCAAAAUAUCCCUAACACGUGGCAAAUUCUUCCAGCGAGUACACGAUAAAAGCGAUCUUGGCGAGUACAAAAUCGUUUCGUUUCAUCUUCUUCGACAUUUGGCUGGCACAGCGUAGCUGUCUAUAUAAAGGCAGGACAACCUAGACGGUGGAAAUCAAAUUUCGACUCUCCUAUUUGUAUGAAAUUCUGUUUCCAUUUCCAAACCAAAUACUCACCAAAUCCCUAAAUUCUUGUGCAUCCAAAACGCAGCCAAAUCCCGCGUUUCGAUUCCCCGAUCUCUCCAGAGCCGCUGCGAAUUCCGGCGAUUCUGGUGCGUGCUUUUACCGGAGGGAAUUGAAAUCCGAUCGCGGCUGUUUGAAUACAAAGAAACGAGAGUGAAUUUCGAAUCGUCAGGCACAAGAAAGGCGCAUGAGCUGGUUGGGAAAGCUGGGUUUCACAAAGAGGAAAUUGAAUUCCAAUUCUAAUCACUUCAUUACGUGUCUCUUAAUCUUUAUCCUUCAUUAUUCCCCCCAAUUGCCUCUUACUCUGCUUAAAUUCGAGAAGAAAGCCCUCGAUCCAUUAUUAUCAUUAUCCAAUCUUAAUUUUAAUCCCAAUUUUAAUCGUAAUAUCAAUAACGCUUUGAAUCACUAUGGCGUCUGGAGCCAAGAGUAAUCCCCAAUUGCGCAGAGGUCCAAUCACAUUUUCCAUUCUUUUCUCUUCCAAUUUCUUUUUUGGGUUUGAAAGUUCAUUUUUUUAACCGUUUUACUGCUUUGGGUAAUUUCUAAAAUAAUUUUUUAAAUUUUGGAUUGAAUAUUUUUAUUUAAUAAUUUGUACAAAUGCAGCUGUGUGCUAUUCGAAUGGUGACAAGAAGCAGACAUCAGGCGGAACGACGACGUCCCCAUCUGUAAUAGUGAUAGGUGGUGGUAUGGCUGGAGUUUCAGCUGCACGUGCUCUUCACGAUGCCUCAAUUCAGGUACCCUACCCACAUUGAAAUUCCAACUCAAUGCUUUGUACAUUGAAGUGUGCAAUUAGGGUUUUUAAAUUUUUUGAAUUUUGAUGGUCAGGUUAUGCUGUUGGAGUCUCGAGACAGACUGGGUGGUCGAGUUUACACCGAUUACUCAUUUGGUUUCCCUAUUGACUUGGGUGCAUCAUGGUAAGCUGAGAAUGUGACUUGCUUCCUUGUGUUUGGAAUUUGAAUUGCUUGUAUUUGGAAUUUGAGUUGCUUGUAUUUGGCAUUUGAAGCCUAAAUCCUUGAUCUUUGUUUAUGCUUCAGGUUGCACGGAGUAUGCAAAGAGAAUCCAUUGGCACCAUUGAUUGGGAGAUUGGGGUUACCCUUAUACCGCACGAGUGGGGAUAACUCUGUCUUAUAUGACCAUGACUUGGAGAGGUACAUAAUAUCUUCCUUCAACUUAUAGUUCCCUUGUUGUAGGAAAUGCUGUGAAUUUUAAAUGUCAUUUAAGUUUGGGUUGUCGAUAUGCAUUGUUAUGGUUUUAGUGUGGCUUGGUUUUUGUUGGUUGUUUUGAAUUGAAUGGUUCGUACUCGUAUAAGUUGUUUUAUUUCUCCAACCUUCUAGUACUGUGCCAAGAUUUGCUUUUAACAGUUUAAAGCACAACAGUCUACAAUGUAAUAUAUAUUAUUUAUGGUCAAUACAUUCAAGAAUGUGCUUUGAUACAAAUGAUUUUAACACAUUGCUUCAUCUUUCUGUGAAGUUGGCUUUUUGUCCGAGCCUUUAUAUUGUAGGGUGAUAUCUGACAUUGGUAGUAAAUUCAUGUUGUCUUUGCAGCUAUGCACUUUUUGAUAUGGAUGGGAAGCAAGUUCCUCAAGAUUUGGUCACCAAAGUUGGUGAAGUGUUUGAGAACCUUUUGAAAGAGGCAAGUCAUCCUAUGUUUAUUUAUUUGUUUUAAGGCUAUAGCCUUGUGACACGAAAGGUUUCGCUUCUAUCUUAACCCUCAAAUAGUGGCUUGCCAUUGUGGGCAUUCUUUGACAUCAUUUUUUGUUUUCUUAGUGCAGACAGAUAAGGUAAGAGAGGAAUUUAGUGAAGACAUGUCCAUCACUCGUGCCUUUUCAAUUGUUUUUGAAAGGAACCCGGAAUUAAGGUACCAUAAUUCCUCCAAGCCACAUUUAUUUUUUUAUUUUUUCAGCUUUUGACACUCUGUUGGUGUAUAAAUAGUUUACCAAAAUUACUUUCAUAUGUGUCGUACAGGUUGGAAGGAGUUGCACAUAAGGUUCUGCAGUGGUACUUGUGCAGAAUGGAAGGUUGGUUUGCAGCAGAUGCUGAUACGAUUUCACUUAAAUGCUGGGAUCAGGCACGCUUAUCAUACCUCAGAUUACUUUUCAUUACACAUUACACUGUUUGAAUUUUCAGUUCAACUAUAGACAUUGAUAUCUUUGUGCUUAAAUAUGGCAUAUAACAAGUUAAUAACCUCGAAUGGCCAUUAAUUAGCAAUUUUGUUUCUCUCUUAUAUAGGAAGAACUGCUUCCUGGUGGUCAUGGCCUUAUGGUCAGGGGCUACCUCCCUGUUAUAAACACACUUGCCAAAGGUCUUGACAUCCGUUUGGGCCACAGGUAUGCAUCAGUUUUCUUUUUCAUAUUCUCCUAUAUAUGUUCUGCAAUCUGCUUGUAGCUUAAUCAACAAGCAUAUAACUUUUCUCCUGUUCUCAGGGUCACAAAAAUAGCAAGGCAAUAUAAUGGGGUUCAUGUAACAAUAGAAGAUGGGAGUACAUUUGUUGCAGAUGCUGCUGUUGUAGCUGUUCCUCUCGGUGUGCUUAAGGCAAAGAGCAUAUCGUUCGAGCCAAAGCUACCCAACUGGAAGGAAGAAGCCAUUGAUGACCUCGGAGUGGGAAUUGAGAAUAAAAUAGUAUUGCACUUCGAAAAGGUGUUUUGGCCAAAUGUGGAGUUUUUGGGAGUGGUUGCUGAAACAUCUUAUUGCUGCAGCUACUUUCUAAAUCUUCACAAGGCAACUGGUCAUUCUGUACUUGUUUAUAUGCCUGCAGGGCAGCUGGCUAAAGACAUAGAGAAAAUGUCUGAUGAAGAGGCUGCUAACUUUGCUUUUAUGCAACUCAAGAAGAUCCUUCCAGAUGCUUCUUCCCCGGUACUCCUUGUUUCUAACUUCUACUAGACUUUAUGUGAAAUUUGAUGAGUCUUAUUUAUUUUUGAGCUAUAACUAACUUAAUUGAUGCCUUUCCAAUUAUGCAGAUUCAGUAUCUUGUUUCUCGUUGGGGCAGUGAUGUUAACACGCUUGGGUCAUAUAGCUAUGACAUGGUUGGAAAACCCCAUGAUUUGUACGAGAAGCUAAGGGUCCCAGUGGAUAACCUAUUUUUUGCCGGAGAGGCAACAAGCGCGGACUUCCCAGGCUCUGUGCAUGGUGCAUUCUCUACUGGAAUGAUGGCCGCUGAAGACUGCAGGAUGCGUGUUCUGGAGCGAUAUGGGGAGUUGGAUUUAUUCGAGCCGGUCAUGGGCGAGGAGGCCAUGUCCAUCCCGCUUUUGAUCUCCCGCAUAUAACUUUCAGGCCACACCAUCCUACAGAUAUAUGAAUGCGAGUAUUGAAGAUAUGUUCAGGUUGGAUUGGGCGACAAACAAUAUUGCCAUUUUGAUUCGGCUGUCUGGGAAAGGUCGUGGAAAAUCACCGUUUUCCCUUGAAUGAAGCAGCCAAGCACUGGUGUAUCUGUUUGUUGCCCUCAUCUGUUUGGGCUUAUCUGUAUUUGCGCAAUCAUUGGACAAUCACUAAAUGAUAUGAAUCUAGUCUAAUAAAUAGCUAGUGGAAUAUUACAAUAAAUUGUCAUAUUAGAGGUCAAUAUAUCUAGUAUUUAAUUGGUGGGGAGGACGUUACAAUUUGUCAUGUUCAAAUCAAUGUGGGUUUUCUCUCUCUUCUGUAUCUUAUCUUAUGCAUGCUUGUCUGUCCGUUACCCAUAAUUAGAAAGGAAACUUUCUUCAACUGAUUUAUUGUCAGCAUUGGUGGAUUCUCUCAUUGGAUCCAUUAAAAACUUUUAAGGCUCUGUUUAAAGAAUAAUACUAGUCUUACACAUGAUGUGGCAGCGUAUGUACCAUAUCAUGUAAAAACUAGUUUUUGUUUUUCUAAUUUUAUUUAUUAAAAUACGCUUCAUUUAUUUAAUUGAUGUGACAUAUGAUAUGGACAUGUCACAUCAUGUGGUAUAGAAAUAUGAGAUAAAAAUGUGGUAAGUGUAGCCAAUAUAUUUACAAUUUGUGUAUGCCAAGAUUUUGUUGUUGAUACAAACAAUAUUCUACUUUAAUUUAAUGUAAACUACGGGGAGGGAAAUUUUAAUUCGGGUGCAAAGUAGUGAGCAAAUCCGCUAUAGUCAACUUGACUAACCUCAUGUAAUACCAAGAUUUGGACAAGAAAGAUAGGAAACAAAUAAAUUUCAAACGAGUCCUCACAUGUAGUUAUUUCAAAUACAUUCAUGUUCUUGUUUUCGUAGCAAAUAUGGCCUUGUUGCCAAAUUUUCUUUCAAAUUCCAGAUGGGUAUUUAAAUAACUAGAUGUAAUAUAUUUGGAAUGAAUUUGAAAUGACUAUAUCCAAUAGGGGUGGGCAUCGGGACCGGAAAACCGGAACACCGAACCGAACCGGUGAAAAAAAACCGGAAAACAAACCGGUUGACCAAAAAAGUCAACAAAUCGGACCGGAACCGGACCGAACCGGUUCCAACCGGUUCCGGUUCUGGUUUUACAUCUCUCCGCACCGGACCGGACCGAACCGGACUGGUCAUAUAUUUUAUAUUUAUAUUUUUACAAAAUUUUAAAAUCUAAUGCCAUUUUUUAACUUUUAUAAUCACUAAUUUUCCAAGUUCAACUUCAAAAAAUUUCUAAAUGUAUGAAUUGGAUUAUUUGUUCAUUUUUAAGCUAAAAAAAUAAGUUAUUUAUUAUAAUUUUUUUAUUAAAAAAAUUAAAAAAUUUUUUUUUAAAAAAAAAAAUUAAAAAAAUAAUAAAUUAAUAAUCCGGUUCAAAACCGGAACCGGUUAGAACCGAACCGGCCGGUGUUCGAAAUUUUUUUUGUCUAAACCGAACCGAACCAGACCGGUUAAAUAAUACCGGUUUCGGUUCCGGUUUGAGGUGAGAACCGGACCGAACCGGACCGCGCCCACCCCUAAUGUCCAAUGAGUCAUUUGGAAUCCAUUUGUUUUCUUCAUUUCCUUAUUCAAAUCUCGACAUCCAAAUGGAGACUUGAAAUUCUGAGCUAGUUUUCAAAAUUUAAUGUAUCAUUAAUCGAUUCGUAUUAAUAUUGAGAAAAUUGGACGCAGGACAAUAAUCACGUGAUAUUAGAGCAUCUACAAUCAUGCUCUCUAUAUUUUUUUUGUUAAAGUUUAGCUAAAAAUACAAAGCGUUAUUUUAGGAACUCUAUAAAAUUUGAACUCCAAUCAUACUCCCUAGUUUAAGGAGUCAUAAAUACUAUAAUUAUUUUUUUAAUUCAAUAUAAUUAGUCAAUCUCUAUACAAAAUAGGAAGCAUGGUAGGAGUUGUACUUUCCCAAUUCCUCCCUAAAAUUUGUCCAAAAAGGUGAUUUAGAGAGCCUAUUAUGGAUGCUCUUACACUUGAGAGAGAAAAUGAGAGAAUGGAAAGAUAUACAACUCUAGAAAAUGGAUCUUUGAUUUUCAUUUAGAUAUAGUUGCUCAGUCAAAUCACAUAAAUUUACACAGCUGAGCAAAAGUCGACAUAUUUAAGCAAAUGAAUUGCUAAAACCCUGCCCUCCUAAAAAAGAAUAAAAGAAGAUUAAUCUCCGAAUAUUUCAAGUUCUCUGCGUUGCACUGAAAAUUUGAAUUAGCUUCUAUUUCCGUCGCUUUCUUAUUUUCUCAAAACAUGCUCAAAAUAUAAUUUUCUUUCAACUGAUUCUCGUACCUUCCUUCCGAUAGAUGAAUGAGACCUACAAAUUUGAAUAUAAAUAUCCAACACAGAAGUUCAGCAGGCCCCAAUUUCCAAAUCCCUCUUUUAAAGGUUCCUGUAUAUGAAUUAAAUGCUUGUUAGAUUGGUUGCCUUGCUUAAAAUAAAUGAUAUUUAGAACCAAAAAUUACAAAAACGCAUACCCUUUAAUAGAGGGAGGCAUCAGAGAAUGGAGCUGAAGCUUUCAAUGGGAUCAGAUUCUUCCAGCAUGGAAGCUGCCUGGAAGCAGUCGAUGGCGUCUGCUAUUCGACCAUCAUCUCUGUGAAUCAUCCCCAAGUAAUACCAAGCCUUUCGAUUGUUAGGAUCGAUCCUUAAUGCAUCCGAGAGUAAGCUUCUUGCCACAGGCAAUGCUACUGAGCCCAUCUUUGACAGAAGAGCGGCAAUCAAAAUCUUGCACGGAACAUAAUAGGGUUCUAGCAGAAGAGCAUCAAUAUAAGCUGCUAGAGCUUCUUGAAUUUGUCCACGUCCUUCUAAGAUAACACCUAAUAUAAUUGCACAGCAAGUAACUUAACAGUAAACAUACCGCACAUCAAAAUAUCAAAUUGCACUGCUAUACAAGUAAAAGGUUUUUAUGCCAUGAUAGGCUCCCUAGUGUUAGAAGAGCGUGAAAGUGCUGUUAGGUCAUAUAGGCCCUUGUUUAAAACUAGCCCUUGAAAAGUUGAAAGACAUUUUGUCUAAAGCGAGCGUUUUCCACAGGUCCACCGCUUGCAUUGUCAUGUAUAUCACUUAUCAAGAAGUACAAUAUAAAUGCCUCAAAUUCAUUAAUGUAGUAGAUGAGUUUAGUACUUGCCUUCUGUGUGCAGCAUUUCUGCAGAGUGCCGCUUCAGUUCACUGGCUUUACUCAAACAUAUUUCUGCAUCCUUCCAAUGUGAUAGGCUAGAGUAUAAGUCUGCCAAACCAUGCCAAACUUCGAAUUCAUCGACUUUAUCAUCUUCAACCUAUCAAAAAGAAAAGACCAACAUAAACUUAAAAGGAACAACUUGUUAAUCAGGAGUUCCUACUAGUAUAUAUUUUCACGUUGAGCAAGAAUCUUUAACAAAUAAUUUCCGAGAAAGCAACUUAACCCGGCAUUCACUUACAAACCUCAAGAUCUAAAAAGUCAACUCCAUAAAACAAUCAGAUACUUCAAAUUUCUAAAAUCUAAACUACUAUCACAUUAAAUUAAACCAUUGUAGAAAGAAAUGAUUAAUGGGCUAAACUUCCUCCCAGGACAUUGCAGACUCACAAUAAUACCACUUUCCCACCACUACCAAUAAUAGCUUAGGGCUACAUUUGGCAGAAAUUUGAAUAGUGAAGAAUGUAAAGCAGAAGUCAGAGUUUUAACCUGAUUACUAAUUCUGAGAGGCCCAAAAGAUUUUCUUUGGGCUUGAACCAAUGCAAGAAGGUAACGAUAAGUUUCAAUUGCAUCCAUGGGUAAUGAUUGAGAGAUUUUCAGCUUUGCUUUAAGCCUGAGCAAUGGCCCUUGUUCCCAUUUUGCGGUCUCAUCCAAAGCAGCAUCAGUGACCACGUGAGCCUCUGAAUAUCGCUGUUGAGCAGACAAAACAAGAGCAAGCAAUCUCCAACCUUUUAUUAUGGAGCCCCCUGUUCGAUCAAUGAACUGUUUUGCAUACCGCAAAGCAGCAUUUAGAUUCCGAUGCUCUGCAUACUGAACACCCAACUCAAAAAUCAAAUCUAAAUUAUUCUGCUCCAAAGCAAUGGCUUCAUUUAGCGAUUUCAGUGCUUCAGACUGAAGCCGGGACCUCUCAAAGUCAGAGGAAGAAACUUUUGCUUGUUUCCCCAAACAAAGACCCAACAAGCGAAGACCCACACCCUUUAAAUGUUCAUCCAUCCCCUGAGCACUGCUAAUAGCCCUUUGUGCAUAUCCCACUCCCUCAGCCGCAACAUGGGAAUCCUCACUGCAGGUUUUGGCGGCUAAUAACAAUGCUGUGAGUUCAUCUGGUCGUUCAUGUUUGUGUAAAGACUUCCUUAAUAGAUUCAAAGCCUCGUUGUUGUGUCCUGCUCCACUAUAACAAAGAGCUAAUGAAUUCCAACGAUCAACACGGUGAUAUACUCCAGGCAUGAUCUCUUCCAGCUGCUUUGCUAAAACUGAAGUUUGGUUGCAUAAAGAUAACGCAAAUGUUAGAUGUUCCAUAAGCGAUGGGUCACAUUUGGUUUUACCUAGGGAUAACUUUCUCAAAAGGAUCAUCAAAAGCAGAAUUGCUUCCUCCAGAUUAUUUUUGGGCACAUAUGAACCUUCAACCUGAACACCUAAACUGGGUGGACCAGCCUCUACUCCACUAUACAACAAAAACACAGCAAAUCCUUUCUGAAUUCUUGCACAGCAGUCGUUGUCAAGGUUCCAUUGACUAAGUAGGGCACGCCUGUAAGCAGAUAUUGCUUCAUGAUAGUAACCAGCUUGCUUCCAAAGCUCAGGAAGGAGCUCUACAGCUUGGCUGACUGUCUCUUGCAAUCUACCAUCCACUUGCGCAUCAUGCAUGCCCUGAUGGAAAAUUUUUUCCACAGCAUCAAGCACAUUUUUGCAUUCACUAGCAGCCUCUGCAGACACAUAAAACAAGGUUCCAUUUGUACUCUAAUUCAAACUUGAAAAGUUAAAAAGAAAGGAAAACCAUCAUAUCAAUUGCUGGAACAGUACCCUACCAGUUAAUCUCCCAAGCUUUUGAAGAGACUUGGAUUUUAAGUAUAUAGCAUCAAGAACGAGACUAGCAGCAUGCUGUGAGACUGUAUGCUGUGAGUCAGAACGGGUUCGGCCCUUCCUAGAAGGUGUUUUCUCAGCAAGAGAAGGUUGCAAUCGCUCUAUGGCAGCUUGAAGAUCGAUGCCAUCGAACACACGAAGUGCACCUUCUAGGUUACCUCUUUGGUACUCCAGCUUUCCAAGAAGGGCUCUUGCUUCCUAUAGAUUAUCAUAAAUCAAUGUUUUUUUUUUCUUGGAUAAGUGAUAACCAAUCAUCAAGCACUACUCUAACUUGUGCAUAUAGCCGUACAGACACAGAUAUAAUUAUGGAAAAGAUGGUAAAUUCCAGAAUAAACCAAGAUUUUAAAUGACUAAUACUUCAAAUGAUGAAAUUAUAAAAGAAUAUCCUGGAAUUAUUUUUAUUAUAACCUGAAUCAGAUUCCAAAUUUCUGAUGGACUGGGAAACAUUAGGGCCGACACCUCAAGUAUACUAUAAGCACUAUUCUUAAAGGGGAGGAGGUACUGUUAGGUCCAUAGGUCAUACAAAAUUUUUACACAAAAACAAACAGAUGAUAAGCAUAGAAUAACCUCAAAAUUGAGUGAUAACCCUUCUCGUAAUGAAGAUUCUGCCUCCUGAAUAUUUCCUUCAUCAAGCUUGGCCUGAACAUCUGUUGCUUUCAUGGAAUUCCCAUUUGCAGAGAAUUCAAUCACCAUGCCUUCUUCAUACUCGCCAGAUUCCAUGGCGUGGCUUCCUACUCUUCCUCACCUUAUUCCACAAAUUUCACUUUUGUCCCAGUCUUUUAUCCAUUCAACACUUAGCUGACAAAUAAAUAAAAUGCUGCAGUUCUUAGAAAUUGAACAUAAUUUAAGUAUAAAAACUAACUAUUUGUGUAACAAAAUUCAGCAACACAUUUCAUCUCAAUUAUGCUCAAAUAUAUGACUAAAACCUAUUCCCUUUCCGAAAAUUUCUCAGCAACCAAACAGAUGCUUUAGUAUAACAUUAAUGAUAUCUAGGUAAUCUACACAUUUAUGUAACAGAAAAUCCCAGGGGCAAACUACCAAUCUUUAGAUCCAAUGUAAUCCAAUUAAACUGAAAAAGAAAAUUUGAAGUUAUAGGUAAUGCUGGGUUGCUAAGAAAAUGUAAGAAUUGGGAAGAAAAGUAAUAAAAAUUACAAAUUUACAGAGCUUUCACAAUGCGGGGUCCAAAUAGCAACAUUUUCAGUCAAUAUUCA
rnacentral:lncRNA from 1 species